rnacentral:rRNA from 1 species
UACGUAGGGGCCUAGCGUUGUCCGGAUUUAUUGGGCGUAAAGAGCUCGUAGGCGGUUCGGUAAGUCAGGUGUGAAAUCUCCACGCUCAACGUGGAGGCGCCACCUGAAACUGCCGUGACUAGAGUACGGUAGAGGGGGAUGGAAUUCCGCGUGUAGCAGUGAAAUGCGUAGAUAUGCGGAGGAACACCGAUGGCGAAGGCAAUCCCCUGGACCUGUACUGACGCUCAUGCACGAAAGCGUGGGGAGCAAACAGG